AUAGAUAUUGUUUGGGUACAUUUGAGUAUAUUUACUGUAAGGAAACAUAAGAUUUCGGAACCUCAACAACACAGAACAGGGUAUCUGCUAGCCGAGGAAGUGCUAUUUUUUAUUUGAUACCCUCAAGCAGAUAAAACCAGAAACGAAAAAAAUUGAGCGCUAAAAAAUGUGUAAAAUGGGUGAAUAACGCGUUUUUAAAGGCAGCAAAAGAAGUGAAAAAUAAAUGAAAAACAUUUGAAAGAGUUAAACGCCUUCAACAUUAAAUUAUUAGGGUAUUUUUAUUUGCAGAGACCAUAAAAAGUAUAAUUGCAGUAAAUAUGAAGGAAUUUGCGCCAUUGUUACCAGGACUGCAACAACAAGCCCAAGUGGCAUACAAAGAGAACAGCUUUAUCUAUUGAACAGAGUAAGAGUCCU